UGCCGCAGUCGCUGCCGCAGAUCCGGCCACCGCCGCUGCGCCUCCCUGCCUCCCAACGACCGCCGGAGUUCCACGUGCCGACGGGAUGCGCAGCGUCAGGCCCCGACACGCCAAACCCUAGAUCUGCGUGGGCGCAGCGGCGACAGCGGCAACGCGAAACACAGGGCGACGGGCCGACGGCGUGGAGCAAGCGACUAGGCAGGGCGACGGCGCGGAUCUCGACGGCCCCGGCUGGCGGCGAGCUCGGCUCGCCUCCGGUGCGGCCCGCACCUCCAUCCUCCCUCCUCCCAGUCCCAGGCCGUGAACGAGCCGGCCGCCGCACCCGCGAUCUGGGACCUACUCCCAGUCCCAGGCAUCCUCCUUCGAUGCGUCCGGUGGAAGACGGUGCCACCGAUUCGGAUCUUGCUGCCCCUGGCCAUCUGCACUGCGCUCCGAGAGGUGUGGCUCUCUGCCAGCUGCCAUGCUGUUGUUGCUGCUCUCUACUUGCCGACACAACCAAGGUGAGUUUGGAAAAUGCAGAAUGUAUUUCCAGGUAGCAAAAGAAGGAACCGAAAUACAAUUACCAUGUAGUAUUUCAAUAUCACUGCAUCAGCCAUUCUAUUCUCAAUCAAUCUGAACUUCAGCAUUACUUGUAUGGGAUCCGCCGAUUAUUGUGUGACCAGAGCUUACAGCCGUAUGAACAGAGCUAUAUGUUGAUUUCAGGCUUGCUUCAUCAAACUGAAAGAUACUGCGUGAGAUACUGACAUUUAUUUGUGCUGUUGUUGAUACUGACAACAAAAUUCAUACCAAGCAAAAAAUAACUAAAAAUAUUUGGAUUGCAUUUCGUAGGAAUUUUCUGGUGGAUAUCACCCUAAACUUUGUGAUUCAGAAUAAUCCCAUGUGCUGUUGCUGAGUAUAUCAAGUGGGACCUGGGUCCAGGGCUCAAUCUCAGUGAGGCAUUUAGAGCGUUCUUCUGGAGCGCAUGUCUUGGGUUGGCAUUUAGCAAAAAGCUGGAAGCUUUGCUUUCUUUAAGCCUAGAUUUACUUAGCAUAUACUAUGUAUCUUUACUCAAUGUGUAUGAGCCUGUGUUUUUUUGUUGCUUGUUUUUGUCACUAGAACUGGAAUCUCAACGUGUCACUCUUAUAUUCUUGCUGAAUUCUGUUGCAUCUCAUGGAACAAGCAAGUCUUGAUGGACCUUGGCGUCAUGUUUAUUGAAACCAGUGCUAAAGCUGGAUGUAACAUUAAGAUAUGCUUCAGAAUAUAAACUGCUUACAUGUCUCCUUUCA